UACAGAGGGGGCGAGCGUUGUUCGGAAUUACUGGGCGUAAAGGGCGCGUAGGCGGCCCGCUAAGUCGAACGUGAAAUCCCCAGGCUCAACCUGGGAACUGCGUCCGAUACUGGCAGGCUUGAAUCCGGGAGAGGGAUGUGGAAUUCCAGGUGUAGCGGUGAAAUGCGUAGAUAUCGAGAGGAACACCAGUGGCGAAGGCGAGUCUCUGGACGACUCCUGACACUGAGGCACGAAAGCCAGGGGAGCAAACAGG
rnacentral:rRNA from 1 species